GUGUCUCUGAGUUCUCCCAUUUGAUUUCCUUCGAAAGAAUGAAGCUAUCUAACGGAGAAACCAAUGAUUCUGUCAAAGGGAACCCUCCGGAGAAUGGAGUUGAUGAUGGCCGGCAUAUAAAUGGGAAAAUUGAUGACGAGAUUCCGAUAAAGUUGGAUUCGGAAAAUCAAGGGGAACCGGAAGAAUGCUCCGAAAUUGAGAUCAAGGACGGACAAAUAGCAGAUAAAAAAGACUCGACGACCGAAAUACCCAAAGAUAUUCAAAUUAUCUCGCCCGAUACUCCUCACAUGCCUGAGAUGUCGGAUAAUACUGAAAUUAUCCCGCCCCAAAGCAGUCAAGUAAUGAAAGAGGAAAAUAUAGCCGUUACAGGCGAUGAUCAUCUACAAAUAAUCCAACCUCUGUCUCAACUCCCAAAGCCAGAGGCACCACCAGGCCUUGCGCCUUCUCCGACGCCAAAAGAAGACGGACUUGUUUUCAAUCGGUCAAAAUCCUUAUCGGAAAGUUUAACAGUCGACAUGCCGUCAAUCGGGAAAUUCAUUAAAGAAAGAAGCAACAGCUUAUCGGCGUCGAUUGCGAAUCGAUUAUCGUC
rnacentral:misc_RNA from 1 species